rnacentral:rRNA from 1 species
AUUGAACGCUGGCGGAAUGCUUUACACAUGCAAGUCGAACGAUGAACCUUAGCUUGCUAAGGGGAUUAGUGGCGAACGGGUGAGUAAUAUAUCGGAACGUGCCUUGUAAUGGGGGAUAACUAGUCGAAAGAUUAGCUAAUACCGCAUACGCCCUGAGGGGGAAAGUAGGGGAUCUUCGGACCUUACGUUAUAAGAGCGGCCGAUAUCUGAUUAGCUAGUUGGUGGGGUAAUGGCCUACCAAGGCGACGAUCAGUAGCUGGUCUGAGAGGACGACCAGCCACACUGGAACUGAGACACGGUCCAGACUCCUACGGGAGGCAGCAGUGGGAAAUUUUGGACAAUGGGCGCAAGCCUGAUCCAGCCAUUCCGCGUGAGUGAAGAAGGCCUUCGGGUUGUAAAGCUCUUUCGCAAGGGAAGAAAACUUACCAUCGAAUAAAUGGUGAGGCUGACGGUACCUUGAUAAGAAGCACCGGCUAACUACGUG